UGACUGUUGGGAAACUCAUGAAUUCUUAUGAAGUCUGUAUUUCUAAGUUACGCAAGACCCAGUCAGGCCGACGCUCCGCCUCUUUGAAGAGGAUUCCGGUGAACUUUACAAAGGAGGCAAGUUUAACAGAUCUAAUGCUAACAUGAUAUGAUUCUAUAAUUCUUUCACUAUCAUUAUGUGCCGUGGAUAUUUAUUCUUUAUUGACUCACUCUUUUAGUGUAGACAUCUACAACUGCCUGGGAUAUGUAUUUCUUAAUUGUGCCAGUAUUUCAAGUUACUUAAUCUUACGGUUUUUAAUUUAUGGUAUUCGCUCUAGGAUGAUAACUUUGCAUUACUAAAAUUAUUU
rnacentral:lncRNA from 1 species